rnacentral:rRNA from 1 species
CGGCAACAGCUCAAAUUUGAAAUCUGGCGUCUUCGACGUCCGAGUUGUAAUCUAUAGAGGCGUUUUCCGCGCCGGUCCGCGUCCAAGUCCCUUGGAACAGGGUAUCAAAGAGGGUGACAAUCCCGUGCUUGACGCGACCGCCGGUGCUAUGUGAUACGUCUUC